GGAAAGGUUUUGGUUAGUGGGACCUAACCUCUCAAGUCAUGCAGAAGCUGGAUGCCGACAGCACAGUAGAUGCAUUUAAAAAUGAAAAUAUAAGCUAUAGAAAAAGAAAGGAACAAAGAUCCAUCUUAUGUUCUCCCACAAGCAGAUGGACUGAAAAAGGAAGGGUCAUCUCCACAUACGGAAACUUACGCCAGAGUCACCUGGAAAAGGAGAGGAAACAAUUACUAGUUGUCUACAAAUGCAGUGGAAGUCUGAGCUGGUCCUUCCAGGAGGACAGUGUCAAAUCUUGUGUCCAGAUCAUGCAGAUUCAACUCACAUUCAGAAGUGAUUACUUUUUACAGAGUGCAGAGCCUUCUCACUCACAUGAAGGCUGUUUCCUUAUGGCUGAGUCUCAGCUGGUGUAGUCUUGUGUAUCUCUGCUGACCUGAGUAUGGUUUUGCUUUCACACAAGUUGUUUCCUUCUGGUCUUGAAUUUUGUUCCCUUUCGUUAAAUGCCAACCUUGGUUAGGCUUGCUUUUUCCAGUGUUUAAGAAAAGGGAGUCACCCUACGUACAGAUGAGAGCAAGAUACCUGUGGGUAUUUCUGCUGGAAAACAUGCAGUUUAGGGUGGGUGACUAGGGCACAAAUUCCAGGGCCGGCUUAUACUCAGUUGUGUUGCAGUUUUCUAAUACAUAGGAAAAUGCAGAAUAAAAGAUUCUAAGGAAAUUGUAGAAUGGUUUGGGUUGGAAGGGACCUUAAAGAUCACUUUGUUGUAACAAACAUGAGGACAUUGAAAUCAUCUUACUCCAUUUUAUCCAGUGUUUAUGGUUAACUGGAGUGAUCAGAUAAACACAUAAUUUAAAUCUUAGAUGAACACGGCAUUUUAGAAAGUCUUUCACAAAUUAUGUUAGUGAAUAUAUCCUUUUUUCUUCAGCCAGUUUGUGUUUGCCAUUGUAUUCCUUGCUGGCAUGAUCUAAUGCUCUUUCAGAGCACACAAUAAGAUCCAGUAAAAAUAUUUUCAGCCUGUGCAUGACUUUGCUCUGCACAUGAGCUGAAAUCAUAUGAGCUAGCAUUUGUUCCUGAAUGUGUAUCUUCAGUCUAGUAAGUUGUUUUCAGUUCAGGGCUGAACCAAGAACUGAAGAUGCAUCCCAGCUAAGCAGUACACUUACUUGUUUUCCAGGAGUUAAAACAAGGGAACAACCAAAAGUGUAAUCUAAUAUCCAGCUGGUGCCAUUUCUUUGUCUGGGCAUCAUGGCAAACGCCAAAUAUUUGAGAAUAACAAUCCCCUUAGGUGACCCUUGUUGGUUGCUCCAGGCCUCCCACACUGCUGCCUCCCCACCCUCUGAAUGGACCCUUUUCCUGCACACUUGAGCCUGAAAUGGUAAAAAUGUAUCCUGAGCACCAAACUUUAAACUUCAUCUAUAAGAACAGUCCCUUUGCAAGCCAGGGGAGAGGGGAGCUGGGCAAAGAGAAAAGAAAUCAGUUGGGAAGCAGCUCUGGCAGUCAUUCACCCUGUUUCCUCUACCUCUCUCCUUGUGCCACAAGCAGUGCUGCCGGGGAAGGGGGAAGCCUCCCACGCUCCUGUAUGUGCCCCAUUUCACCCUUGGGUGCAGGGGAAGUAGCGGGAGCUGGGACUGGCCUGGCUGGCCUGAGCUGGGAGAGCACUGUGUAUUCAGGUUUCUUCAAGCAGGUCAGACACAGGGUUCCUCAUUUCUUCUCUGUCCUUACAACCACUGGAAAUAAUUUUCUACAAAUAGUGUGGAUGGCACAGUGUGCCUGGAUUUCUUUUUGCCCACUACCCAACCUCCAGCAGACCUGGAGCCAGAGGAAGCAUUUCAGCCCAGUGUCAGUGGAAGGCUGGAAGAUGUAGUGUCCUCAACAUGAUGGACUGCUUGAAGCAUUCCUCAGAGAGAACUGCGCUAUGAAGAAAACCUGUUCUGGUACAAAAGGGGAAGAGUUUCCUUCUUAAUGAGGUGAUAGGUGAUUGUUUAUAGCUAAAUCUUUCCCAAACACGUUGUCUAAAAACCAGCACUAGUUCAGAGAAAGGAAACUCAAAGUUCAUGAAACAGAGAUGUUUGUCUCUGACUCUGUGCUCUCUAAGCAAGCACAACCUUUAUUUCUGCUUACUGUAACACCCCAUGUGUACAAACACAACACAGUGGGUGAGUCGAAGGGUGGAGAUGGUGUUAAGAUGUUCUAACGUUAGACGUGUGCCCCUUACUGUUACAGGAAAACAAAUCCAACGAUGUAUUUGUGGCAAUGUAUGUUGGCCUUGUGGCCCCAGUGUUAGGCUAGCCAGCUGAAAUGCUCUUAUGUAACCAGUCUACCUGUUAAGGAGCUGUACAAACAUUUCUGGUAGCGCCGGCCUGAUUUUUUUUCUUGUUUUCUGUAGGAUUGGACUCUGUCUCUAAUUGCCGCCUUGUCCACUAACUUACCAUGAGCACUGUGUUCGAGGACAGAUGCUGCAGAUCCUUGCUUUGCUGUGGCAAAGGAGCUGGUGACAGACAGCUCCCCAGGGCUUGCCUGGCCUUUUUAGUGCAGACACAGUAAAAUGGCUCGGAUGAGAAUGGCAGGCUCAUACAGCUCCUUUGUAUGACUGAAGGAAUAUCCAAAAAGAUAGCCAUCAGUGAAAUAGUGCACUUUAUACUACCAGGGAACAUACUUUUGAACACAGCUAGGGGCAUUGUUCCUC